GUACACACGACUUGAUCAGGUGGUCAGUUACAAGAAAAGUUUGAAUGUUUAAAGACGUUUUUAGUCUUUGUUUUGUCGUUGUUUCUUACAUUGGUUUGAAAUAAGAUGCGUUGAUUAUAAGCAGCCGCACAUGUAGAUGUGUAAGUGAGAGGAUUGAAGGAAGAGGUGUUCGAUUCCCUAAAUCGAUACCUUUAAAGGCUAUCCAUCACACAGAUUGUUUUGGAGUUGAUCAUACUAUUGUAACUCAACAUUAAAGAACCCCCCGUUAAAACCUGAACGGUCGUUGUUGUUUGGAAAAACACGUAGAGUUUCAAAUGGCGCCCAACGGGUUCGUUGACUAGUCGAGUCUGCAGAGAGUCGGUGUAAAGGAGCGGGUUGUGUUCCUGAAACAGCUGUUGACAUUGUUUUAGUGCUAGCAAACAUUAGACCAGGAUUCAACCACUUCAGACGUUUAAUUCAGGAUAGCAGUUUUAUUUUUUUCUGAUUUGGACACAUCAGAAAUACAUACUUUUAAGUGCUUUUAAAUCAGUUUUAAACCAUUCUAGUGGCAGAAUAAUCAAUUGUGUAUUGAUCAUGAAACUUCAUCGGUACAUUGAUCAUGACUGGCAGAUGACCCCUAUUGAUUUUCAGGUCACUAGGUCAAAGGUCAAGGUCACAGUGACUCGAAAUAGUAAAAUGGUUUCCGUGUGAUAACUCAAGAAUGCUUACGCCUAGGAUCAUGAAACUUCAUAGGUACAUUGAUCAUGACUGGCAAAUGACCUCUAUUGAUUUUCAGGUCACAAGGUCAAAACCACAGUGACUCGAAACAGUAAAAUGGUUUCCUGAUGAUAACUCAAGAAUAAUUAGGCCUAGGAUCAUGAAACUUCAUAGGUACAUUGAUCAUGACUGGCAGAUGACCCCUAUUGAUUUUCAGGUCACUAGGUCAAAGGUCAAGGUCACAAUUACAAAACACGUAUUCACACAAUGGCUGCCACUACAACUGACAGCCCAUAUGGGGGGCAUGCAUGUUUUACAAACAGCCCUUGUUUUGGUGUUUGAAUUUAAGCAUUUGCUGGAACACUUAUUUCUAUUGAUAAGGCUGUGUUAUACCAUUUUUGCCUUAUAUUUGGAAUUAAAAAUUUGUUUAAUUUGAAAAAUCUGUUUACAAUUUUGAAUUACCCCAGUUGCUAUUAUUGUUAUCAUGUACUCUAGGUAGAUCUAUUUAUAGACAAAAAAAUGUAGCCGCUACUAGGUAGCAGGAAGGUAGCAAGAAAAGGUGGCCGCUGCUAGGUAGCCAGAAAAGGUAGCAGCUACGUAGCCAGAACAGGUAGCCGAAAGGUAGCCAGAAAAGACUGUGGUACUGUUUGACGUGGUCGCAGUUCAAAAGGGAGAACGAGUGGACCCCGAGAACGGUUACACGCAUUCAAGACAUCGUUAGCCACAGAAUCAUCCAAGCGCACGACACUUUCCAGACUGUGGUACUGUUUGACGUGGUCGCAGUUCAAAAGGGAGAACGAGUGGACCCCGAGAACGGUUACACGCAUUCAAGACAUCGUUAGCCACAGAAUCAUCCAAGCGCACGACACUUUCCAGACUGUGGUACUGUUUGAUGUGGUCGCAGUUCAAAUGGGAGGACGAGUGGACCCCGAGAACGGUUACACGCAUUCAAGACAUCGUUAGCCACAGAAUCAUCCAAGCGCACGACACUUUCCAGACUGUGGUACUGUUUGACGUGGUCGCAGUUCAAAAGGGAGGACGAGUGGACCCCGAGAACGGUUACACGCAUUCAAGACAUCGUUAGCCACAGAAUCAUCCAAGCGCACGACACUUUCCAGACUGUGGUACUGUUUGACGUGGUCGCAGUUCAAAAGGGAGAACGAGUGGACCCCGAGAACGGUUACACGCAUUCAAGACAUCGUUAGCCACAGAAUCAUCCAAGCGCACGACACUUUCCAGGUCAGGGUCUGAAUUCAACGGAAUAGAAUCUUGAACUUGUUUCUCUACACAGGGCACAUGACUGUGGCAGGGGAUAUAUCAGUGAACGGGGGGUCCAUGAAAAUUAGAUAUCUUUAGGGUAGGGGUUACCUAUGGUCUUUAAAAAUCAAUUAGGUAUUUAUAAGAUGUAUUUCUUGUGUUAGGUUGUAGAAAGAAUGUCUCAAUUUUUUGGGAAAAAACAUUAAAACUAGCCACAGCUCCCUUGCGAGACAAUUUUGAAUCUUCAAAAAGGAGGUUUUCACUUUUGGCGGAAGUUAAUAUUUCACGCUGCAGAAACGGAACAAAACUUUGAAGGUAAAUUGUGAAAAAUCUAAACGUAUGGGAGACACUUUUCUAGGUAAAUAAACAAAGCACAGGGAUGAAAUUAAUGAGUGAUGUAGCCAAAACUAGGAUUGCAUUGUUUGAAUGUUCUGUGCAUGCCAUGAAAUGGGUCAAAUUUCUCAAUUUUUCAUUAAAAAUGAGGUGGGUGUGGGGAAAUAUCAAGGGCCAUAGUUUCACAAGUGAAGAAGCCAGCCUUGUCUUUGGUUGUAUUUUCAAUGUAUAUUGCCUAUGUUAUGACACUGACACAAAAAGGCUUUCUUGUGUCACUUUCUGUUUAGAUGAAAUGGAUUUGACUGUUUGCGGCCUUUCGGAACUCGAAAUUUGGUCAAAAAUAUAUCCCCUGCCCCCUUUCCCACCAACUGUCAAAGUCUCAUGCAGUCUCCAACCUAAAAGCCAAACAGUGAAUUUGUAGUAUACAACAAUGUUUUUCCUACCACAUGGACACAGAAAUAUUCAAAAAUAAAGUCAUAGCAAGUGCCCGUAAACAGAAUUGUGUCUUCAAAUAGUAUUUAGUUUAUUGUAACCUUUAACUUGCGGAUCAAAGCAACAGAUGUAAGGCGUCUUCUGAUUGGCCAACACUCAAGGGUCAGUAAAAAUUGUACGUUGACGUACAAUUUUGUACGUCGACGUACAAAAAAAUGUACGUUGACGUACAUAUUGCACGUCGACGUACAUUUCUCAUUUUACCUAGUAGGUCUUGUUGACCCAAAUGGUACGUCAUAGUCAGAUUUUUAAUUAUAAAAAACCUGGUAAGGGAUUCCUAGUGCCUCCGAAAGGGCCUAACCUGCCACCCCAAAGAUAGUCUUCAGUGUAGGUGAUUGUUUCUGUGUUCUUUAGACUAUACGACUGGCGUCAUGCGAAAAUGGAUCUCAUGCCAUAUGCCACAAGCUCCAGACAUGCAUGCAGAAUCGCACAGAUUGGUCAGGAGUUACGCUAUCUGCUUCAAAUUUGCACAAGGUUUCAUUGUCUCAUACGCGGACAGAGAACCGGUGGUUCCAGACCACACUGUACGGAUACGCUGGCUGGACUGGAGCUACCUUGGCCGAAUAUGGCAUAAGUCCCAUUUUCUUUUGACGCGACACAUAAAUGUAGAUAUUUGUGUUUUACAUUCUAACACAGUAUAAAUAAGAUUCAUAUAUUUUUGCAUGUAUAAACUAUAAAAUGUGUUAAAAUGUGUUUAAUUAAAAUAAAAGUAUUAAUGCAUGAGAAAGCUAUCCAACAUCAACAUCUAAAAACGCCCUGAAAUUAAUCGUGAAUGCUAUCGAUUUAAAACGAUUCCGUUGAUAAACAUCUUGGAUUCUGCAAGGGAGUGCUAAAUUCAUGAUUCAUUGUUGUUUAAUAAUGUAUUAAAAUUGCAAAAAUAGUCAUGACUGCUGUGAUAAAUAUUUACCUAUACACGGACUGAAUUGGAACACCAAAAUGCAUAUUAACAAACAAAUUUACAAAUAAUCCCAACCGUCCUUAUUUUAUGUAUUUAAAUGGCAUUUCCCAAUGCAUAGUGUUCACCGCAAAUAUUUAAUCUGACUAAAAGUGUCUUUAUUUUUUAAGUUAAGACUAACAUAAACCCUUUAAAACAGUAACCCGCAACACAUAUAUUAUAAUAUUUUCAUGUUGAUAUCCCACACCCCAAGAAAUGUUUGAUUUUGGAUGGAUUCAAAUCACUUGAUAUACAGAAAUAUUCCAACACAAAUAAUUACCCGGUAAGUGUAUGGUAUUUUUUUAUGAUCUUGCAGCUACAUGUAUCUGAGAUAUAGCCCUUUAAAGUAUACUGAUACAAAAACAACGAAGGGCAAUAACUGAUUUGAGAAAUUGUAGGGUUAUCGUUCUUCUGCAAGGCAAUGCUCCUCAUUAAUAACUAUACACCCAUGACGUUUCAUGUUGAAAUCCUGUAUGACAUCUGAGAUAUAGCUUUAAAAAGGUAACAUCUUACAAAAACACAGGGCAAUGACUCUUAUUUAAGAAAGUGAAGGGUUAUGGUUCUUGUACAUGGAACUUUUCCCAAUCAAUAUCUAUACAAACAUGAAGUUUCAUGUUUAUAUCAUUAUCUUAUAUGGUGUCGUUUAUAUCAUAUAUGGUGUCAUAGAUAUAGCCCUGAAACGUUUGUAACAGACAGAAAAAGCCAAUUCUAAACCCAUCCGCAUUUGGCAGGGGAUAAUAAACAACACCAAAAAUGCAGGUGUCUUUUUUCCUUCAAGCUUAUUCUUCAACAUUCAUUCAUCAUGUCAAUAUUGUCAAUAUGGAUUUAUUCAUAUUUAGUGGAUUGUGAAACAACACCAACAUAUUUUAAAAUGAUUGAGAGAUAUAAAAAAAAUCUUAACAAGACCUAAAAGAUUCAGCAUCUUUAAAACAAAACUCUUACACAAUAAAAUGUCACAAUAUUACACAACUGUCAUUUUUUAGGGCUGCACUGCAUGCCGUGUUUUCUUUUCAGCAUAUGAAUGUUGCUCACUGCUAACUGUCUUUGUCUGAAAAGUAUGUU